UGCACAUGGCCCAUCCCAUCUGAAUAAGGUC
rnacentral:piRNA from 1 species